AUGGCGGCGACCAUGACGGUGGAGGAGGUGAGGCAGGCACAGCGGGCGGAGGGACCGGCCACGGUGCUGGCGAUCGGCACGGCGACGCCGGCAAACUGCGUGUACCAGGCCGACUACCCGGACUACUACUUCAAGAUCACCAAGAGCGACCACAUGGCCGACCUCAAGGAGAAGUUCAAGAGAAUGUAUCAGGAAGAGGACAUCGUCGUCGUGGAGGUCCCCAAGCUCGGGAAGGCCGCGGCACAGAAGGCGAUCAAGGAGUGGGGCCAACCGCGGUGUAAGAUCACCCACCUUGUCUUCUGCACCACCUCCGGUGUGGACAUGCCGGGCGCCGACUACCAGCUCACCAAGAUGCUCGGUCUUCGCCCGUCUGUGAAGCGCCUCAUGAUGUAUCAGCAGGGCUGUUUCGCUGGCGGCACGGUGCUUCGCCUAGCCAAAGACCUUGCUGAGAACAACCGCGGCGCACGUGUGCUGGUGGUCUGCUCCGAGAUCACCGCGGUGACCUUCCGUGGCCCGCACGAGUCCCACCUUGACUCGCUGGUAGGUCAGGCGCUCUUCGGCGAUGGUGCAGCCGCGGUGAUCAUCGGCGCGGACCCCAACGAGUCCAUCGAGCGCCCCCUGUUCCAGCUAGUGUCUACGAGCCAGACGAUUCUGCCGGACUCGGAGGGCGCCAUCGACGGCCACCUCCGCGAGGUUGGCCUCACCUUCCACCUCCUCAAGGAUGUGCCUGGGCUCAUCUCCAAGAACAUCGAGCGCGCCCUGGAGGACGCCUUCAAGCCAUUGGGCAUCGAUGACUGGAACUCCGUCUUCUGGAUGGCGCACCCCGGCGGGCCAGCAAUCCUUGACAUGGUGGAGGCCAAGGUAAACCUGAACAAGGAACGGAUGCGCGCCACCAGGCAUGUCCUCUCCGAAUAUGGCAACAUGUCAAGCGCCUGUGUACUCUUCAUCAUGGACGAAAUGCGCAAACGCUCCGCCGAGGAUGGCCACACCACAACUGGCGAGGGAAUGGACUGGGGCGUUCUCUUCGGCUUCGGACCUGGCCUCACCGUGGAGACGGUCGUCCUCCAUAGCGUCCCCAUCACUGCCUAG
rnacentral:rRNA from 1 species